rnacentral:rRNA from 1 species
AUGGAAUCGGUGAGCUCCGGCGACGGCUAUCCCCAGCUACGGACGACCGUCGGCCAGCGCCGGCUCCGUCGGCACGGCGCCGAUCCUCGCCCGCGACCCUCGACGGCCAUCCACCCGAGCCCAUCCAUGGAGGGAGAGGCCGUUGACGCCGAGCUGCGGCUCGGCCCUCCGCGCAGCGGCGGCGCGUCGGCGGAGAGCAAGUACGUCAAGGUGAGCGUGGAAGGAGCCCGGUACCAGCGGAAGGUGGACCUGAUGGCUUACGGAGGGCACGCGGAGCUCAGGGCGGCGCUCCUGGGCUUGGCUGGCCAGAUGCUGGACUUGGUCGUCGCCUACAAGGACGAGGACGGCGACAUCUUGCUCGCCGGCGACCUCCCCUGGGACAUGUUCGUCCCCGACUGCAGGAGCAUCAGGAUUAUGAGACGGUCGACGACGGUGACAAGCAGCUAG